rnacentral:rRNA from 1 species
UUUGAUCCUGGCUCAGGACGAACGCUGGCGGCGUGCUUAACACAUGCAAGUCGAACGAUGAAGCCCUUCGGGGUGGAUUAGUGGCGAACGGGUGAGUAACACGUGGGCAAUCUGCCCUUCACUCUGGGACAAGCCCUGGAAACGGGGUCUAAUACCGGAUAACACUCUGUCCCUCAUGGGGCGGGGUUAAAAGCUCCGGCGGUGAAGGAUGAGCCCGCGGCCUAUCAGCUUGUUGGUGGGGUAAUGGCCUACCAAGGCGACGACGGGUAGCCGGCCUGAGAGGGCGACCGGCCACACUGGGACUGAGACACGGCCCAGACUCCUACGGGAGGCAGCAGUGGGGAAUAUUGCACAAUGGGCGAAAGCCUGAUGCAGCGACGCCGCGUGAGGGAUGACGGCCUUCGGGUUGUAAACCUCUUUCAGCAGGGAAGAAGCGAAAGUGA